ACGGCAGCACGGGGGCAACCCUGGUGGCGAGUGGCGAACGGGUGAGUAAUACAUCGGAACGUGUCCUGGAGUGGGGGAUAGCCCGGCGAAAGCCGGAUUAAUACCGCAUACGCUCUAAGGAGGAAAGGGGGGGAUCUUAGGACCUCUCGCUCAAGGGGCGGCCGAUGGCAGAUUAGCUAGUUGGUGGGGUAAAGGCCUACCAAGGCGACGAUCUGUAGCUGGUCUGAGAGGACGACCAGCCACACUGGGACUGAGACACGGCCCAGACUCCUACGGGAGGCAGCAGUGGGGAAUUUUGGACAAUGGGCGCAAGCCUGAUCCAGCAAUGCCGCGUGUGUGAAGAAGGCCUUCGGGUUGUAAAGCACUUUUGUCCGGAAAGAAAACUUCCGCCCUAAUACGGUGGGGGGAUGACGGUACCGGAAGAAUAAGCACCGGCUAACUACGUGCCAGCAGCCGCGGUAAUACGUAGGGUGCAAGCGUUAAUCCGAAUUACUGGGCGUAAAGCGUGCGCAGGCGGUUCGUUAAGACAGAUGUGAAAUCCCCGGGCUUAACCUGGGAACUGCAUUUGUGACUGGCGGGCUAGAGUAUGGCAGAGGGGGGUAGAAUUCCACGUGUAGCAGUGAAAUGCGUAGAGAUGUGGAGGAAUACCGAUGGCGAAGGCAGCCCCCUGGGCCAAUACUGACGCUCAUGCACGAAAGCGUGUGGAGCAAACAGGAUUAGAUACCCUGGUAGUCCACGCCCUAAACGAUGUCAACUAGUUGUCGGGUCUUCAUUGACUUGGUAACGAAGCUAACGCGUGAAGUUGACCGCCUGGGGAGUACGGUCGCAAGAUUAAAACUCAAAGGAAUUGACGGGGACCCGCACAAGCGGUGGAUGAUGUGGAUUAAUUCGAUGCAACGCGAAAAACCUUACCUACCCUUGACAUGGUCAGGACCUGGCUGAAAGGCCGGGGUGCCCGAAAGGGAACUGACACACAGGUGCUGCAUGGCUGUCGUCAGCUCGUGUCGUGAGAUGUUGGGUUAAGUCCCGCAACGAGCGCAACCCUUGUCCCUAGUUGCUACGCAAGAGCACUCUAGGGAGACUGCCGGUGACAAACCGGAGGAAGGUGGGGAUGACGUCAAGUCCUCAUGGCCCUUAUGGGUAGGGCUUCACACGUCAUACAAUGGUCGGAACAGAGGGCUGCCAACCCGUGAGGGGGAGCUAAUCCCAGAAAACCGAUCGUAGUCCGGAUCGCACUCUGCAACUCGAGUGCGUGAAGCUGGAAUCGCUAGUAAUCGCGGAUCAGCAUGCCGCGGUGAAUACGUUCCCGGGUCUUGUACACACCGCCCGUCACACCAUGGGAGUGGGUUUUACCAGAAGUGGCUAGUCUAACCGCAAGGAGGA
rnacentral:rRNA from 1 species